UACGGAGGGUGCGAGCGUUGUCCGGAAUUACUGGGCGUAAAGCGUGCGCAGGCGGUCUUUUAAGUCAGAUGUGAAAUCCCCGGGCUUAACCUGGGAACUGCGUUUGAAACUGGAAGGCUUGAGUGCGGCAGAGGGGGGUGGAAUUCCGCGUGUAGCAGUGAAAUGCGUAGAGAUGCGGAGGAACACCGAUGGCGAAGGCAGCCCCCCUGGGCUGACACUGACGCUCAGGCACGAAAGCGUGGGGAGCAAACAGG
rnacentral:rRNA from 1 species